UCAGGAACAAGCAAAUCAAGAGAAGUCCAAAAAAAAGAAAGGCUCACCAAGAAAAUACAAGCCAAUGUCGUAUAAUAUAUCAAUCUGACGGCAAUUCAGAGACCGUCGAUCAUGCAAAAGGAUGCGACCAGCCAAGGAAUUCUGCAAACACAAUUUCCAAAAUUCAGUCAACAGUCUUGAUCUUUGGUCAAGUCAAUAUUCCUAGUCAAGUCUUCAUAGUUUUAAGAGCUUUAUAGUUUCAAGGAUUGACUAGAUUAUUUAAUUUUACAGAUUGCCUAUUAUAUAAAGGUUUGCUUUGUAUUGUUUUUAUUUAUUCAACCCUUUUAAUAAAAAUCUACUUUUUAAAUUUGUUGAAUCCUUUGUUCUUUGGAACAUCGUAAUGCUACGAGAGUGAUCUCCGUAAGCACGGUCUUGUUCACUAGUGGGGCUGCCUCUCACGGACUAAGACCAACCCAGCAAGUAUCUGGCCUUCCGCAGCCUUAUACUGAAGAACCAUCGAUCCACCUUUCCUUUAAUCCAUCUUUGGGUCAAAGCUUAUCCUUUUCACCAACCUUCGAGUGCAUUCCUUGGGAGAUUUUCUAUUAUUUGGUAUCAGAGCACACUUGAGGGUUCGGUGUUCACUUCUGUCAUUCAUCAUUCUCAUCUUUCCAUCUUCUACAAAAAAAAAAAAAAAAUCCACGAGAAAACAAGAGAUCAUUCCAUCUGAAGUUAAACCGAGACUGCUCCUCCAUCUCUCGUAAUGGCUCUAGGAGAUUACUUCUCCAAAAGCAACCUGUUUGAUCACUAGUGGGGCUGCCUCUCACGGUCACAGGUUCUAAACAUUAAGUCGGAUUUGAGGGCAAAUCCUUUUGAAGGAGGAGGGGAUGAUGUGACCUUGUUCAGGAACAAGCAAAUCAAGAGAAGUCCAAAAAAAGAAAGGCUCACCAAGAAAAUACAAGCCAAUGUCGUAUAAUAUAUCAAUCUGACGGCAAUUCAGAGACCGUCGAUCAUGCAAAAGGAUGCGACC
rnacentral:lncRNA from 1 species